AAAGGUAGCAUAAUCAUUAGGGGUUUAAUUGGAACCUGGUAUGAAGGGUCGGACAAAGGAAAAACUGUCUUUAUAGCUUAAGUUGAAAUUUACUUUUAGGUGAAAAGGCUUAAAUGAAUCAAAGGGACGAUAAGACCCUAUAAAGGUUUAUAGAUAACUUAAUUUUGGUUGAUUUAAAAAAUAAAAACUAAAUUUAAUUAUUCUAUUUUGUUGGGGUGAUGUGAGUAUAAUUGUUAUUAACUGCUUAUAAAAAAUUCUAUUAUAGUAGAGUCAAUAGUGAAGGAUCCUUUUUAAAGAUUAAAAGAAUAAGUUACUUUAGGGAUAACAGCGUUAUUUCUUUUGAGAGUCCAUAUCGAGAAAGAAGAUUGCGACCUCGAUGUUGAAUUAAAAUAUCUAUAUAAUGCAGCCGUUAUAAAAGAGGGUCUGUUCGACCUUUAAAUU
rnacentral:rRNA from 1 species